CCUACGGGAGGCAGCAGUGGGGGAUAUUGCACAAUGGGGGAAACCCUGAUGCAGCGACGCCGCGUGGGUGAAGAAGCGCCUCGGCGCGUAAAGCCCUGUCAGCAGGGAAGAAAAUGACGGUACCUGAAGAAGAAGCCCCGGCUAACUACGUGCCAGCAGCCGCGGUAAUACGUAGGGGGCAAGCGUUAUCCGGAUUUACUGGGUGUAAAGGGGGCGCAGACGGGGAUGCAAGCCAGGAGUGAAAGCCCGGGGCCCAACCCCGGGACUGCUCUUGGAACUGCGUGGCGAGAGUGCAGGAGGGGCAGGCGGAAUGCCUGGUGUAGCGGUGAAAUGCGUAGAUAUCAGGAGGAACACCGGUGGCGAAGGCGGCCUGCUGGACUGCAACUGACGUUGAGGCCCGAAAGCGUGGGGAGCAAACAGGAUUAGAUACCCUUGUAGUC
rnacentral:rRNA from 1 species